UCUGACAGCUCCAGUCAGGCAGGGCCGCGCCGACGCGCAGCCCGAGAGCUCGGCGACCCUGGUAAUGGCCAAAAGGCCAGUACCCGGAGAGGGUUGGGGCACUCGCUGGUUUCCCGAUAAAUGUUUACCAAGAGGGGAGGAGAUCCCUGGGAGAGAAUGAAAUGGACUGCCUGCCGCCAAAGAGACUGGAUUCUUGGUUGGGUCCAGAUUUCUCUUGUGAAGUCCUCCCCCAUCUGAGUUUGCACCAGGAUUUGUGCAACCUGGUUCAGAUGGCCAUGGAAGUCGCCCAUGGCUGGAGUGAAAAUUUGCCAGCUCCGAGAUGCUAUAGUUACAAGCAAUGCUUAACCCACUGGUACUACCAGGAGGUGGUAGGUGCUCCUGUCAUCUCUUGUUUGCAGAUGUGGAAACAGGGCCACAGACAGGUGACCAAACUGUCAAAGUCAUGUUUGCAGGGAUUCAAACCCAGUGGCCUUGCUCUGAAAUCUGUCCUAUCCACUAGCACUUUACCUGUGGUACAACCACUCCUAAAAAUCUUUCUUUUGAUGUCUCGUUUUCAGAGCUGAGGGUGCUCUACCACUGAGCUACAUUCUCAGCCCAAUUUAUUUUUUUGUUUUGGGACAGGGUCUUGCUAAGUUGUCUAGGCUGCCCUCGAAUUUGCAAUCCUCCUGCCACCUCAGCCUUCCGAGUCACUGGAAUUACAGAAGGCACAAGAAGAUGAAGAAUGUCUGGAGAAGAGGAAGGUGUCCUCUUCUGAGAGGGAGAGAAAAUAAUGGGAAUUCAGUUCUUUUUUCUUUUCUUUUUCUUUUUGCAUACUCGGGGCUGACCCCACGGCCUAGUGACUUGUGAAUGUGGGAAUGGUGGUUCAUGGAGGUGGUGGGAGCUGGGGUCACAUUGCAAAGGUGAUGAGAAAAUAGCCAAGAAGCACUUGAAAAGAUGGACAAUUCAAGUCAAAACCACCAUGAGAUACCACUUCACGCCCAUGAGCCUGGGUAGGAUCCAGAAAGGGGAAAUCAGCAAGUGCUUGCUGGCCAAGAUGUGGAGAAGUCACGCCCCUCUUUCCCUGCCACUGGAAAGUGGUGCUGCCACUCUGGAGAAGAGUUAGUUGGUUCCAUGAUAAAUUACACCUAGAAUAACAACCAUAUUACUACUCACGUGUAUGUCCAAGUAACUGAGCACAGGUGUUCAAGCCAUCCCUUUUCACAAAUGUUCGUGGCAGCACUGUUCACAAUGGCCAGAAGGUGGAAGCAACCAAACUGCCCAACUAUGGAGGAAUGGAAGAAUGACACAUGGAAGGUACCUGUGAGGGAAUAUUAUGCUGCCAUAUAAAGGAAGGAAGUGCUGACCCACCCUGCAGUGAACCUGGAGAACUUGAUGCUUUAGGGCUGGGGUGCUUGUAGCUCAGGGGCAGGGUGCUUGCGUAACAUGCAAAAGACCCUGGGUCCCAUCCCGGGGACCAUGGAAGAAUAAAAAUAAAAAGGACACUUACUGAGUGACUCCAUUUAAAUGAAAUGCUGGAGGAGGCUGAUGCUUAGAGACAGAAUGAAGAUUAGUGGUUGCUAGGGUCUGGGGGACAGGGAGGGAGUGGGAGUGAGCUUAGGGGAUAGGCAGCUUCCUUCUGGGGUAGUGGGAAAGGUCUGGAUUUAGACAGUGGUGAAGAUCAUCCAGCAUUACCCACUUGAAUCAAAGUGUGAAAUAUGAUAUAUCAAGAACUAUGUAAUGUUUUGAACAACCAACAAUAAAAAAUUUAAAAAAAAUG